AGGGGCAUGGCCUUAGUAACGGCGAGUGAAGCGGCAAAAGCUCAAAUUUGAAAUCGGCCCCCAGGUCGCAGUUGUAAUUUGUAGAUUGUAUCUUGAGAGCGGAUUAAAGUCUGUUGGAACACAGCGCCUUAGAGGGUGACAGCCCCGUAAAAUCUAUUCUCAUUGUAAGAUACUUUCGAAGAGUCGAGUUGUUUGGGAAUGCAGCUCUAAGUGGGAGGUAAAUUCCUUCUAAAGCUAAAUAUUGACGAGAGACCGAUAGCGAACAAGUACUGUGAAGGAAACAUGAAAAGCACUUUGAAAAGAGAGUGACCAAGCACGCCCCCAUUGUUAAAAGGCAACCGUAUUGAAUCAAACUUG
rnacentral:rRNA from 1 species